AAACAACACUCACACACCAUAAUCUGUCUAUUCUCACAUGGUAUCAGAGCUCCAAGCUCCUGAGAAUCCAUAGAGCUUCCGCAAAUCUAUUACAGUUCAUACUUCUCUUCAAAAAUCUCUGUUUCUGUUCAUCCUUGUAUCCUCUGGUCUAAAGCUUUUCCAGGAGGGAAGAGACUCACCAGAACUCAAGAUAAAGGAGGUCUUUAGUAUCUGAAACUCAAAGCUUCCACAAUUCAAGCAUAGGCUCACCCUCAUUGUUAUUUCAAAUCAUUGGAGAGUUUCUGUCCAGCCAGCUGUUCAAUCUCUUCAAGAGGAAGAAGACUACAAACAUGGCGUGUCCAGAGACUUCCCAAGGUCUAUCACCCUUCCUCCUGUUCAGCCUGAAGAGAUCUCUUGGAGAAAGAAGGUUUUGGAGCUGUUUGGCAAGCAAUGCUCCAAACCAAGUCUGUACAAGUGUUUUUCAAGUUCUUCCCAAAGUGGAGUCUCUCACUGUGUGCCAGAAGGUGGCGCCUGGUAAUCAGGAAGAAAGGAGGGGUCUUAAGCAUGAGUGGUCUAAAUGGGAAAGCACACACAAGGAAAUGGCGUGGGGUAGAGAUCCCAAACUCCAAAUCUGUCAAGUUCAAGUGAACAGUGUGCCUUGGAGGUUCAAGGAACCAGCUCAGGUUCCUUGUUUGUAAGUUAACCUCCUACCUUUAAUAAGAGCUUGAUUAGUUAUGUCUGGUUGUAUUGAGUGGUGUGUUUGGUAUCCUUGGGACAGGUUCAAGUUGCUAGAGUUGUUGAACCUAGUUCCUGUCCCAUGAUACUUAAAUUGUGUGUGUUGCUCUGUUUCUUAAAUUAUUUCGAGGAGUUGUCUAGCAUGGUAUUGUCUAGUUCCUGUCCUAGAUUAAUUGUUUCUGUUUGUAUUGUGCUAGGCGAUUUGUUUAGCUACUGUCAUUGUCUUGUUGCAUUGAUAGAGGUCUAGGAGAGUCUCCUGAUCUUGUAUUGCAUUAUAUAUAUAUUGUUCAAGAUGAUUAGAUGAGUUGUUUAGUCUCUGUUUAUUGUCUUUAAAAUUCAUAAAAAGAGCCUAAUUGCCUUGUUAUUGAUGAGUUAUCAUACCUGAGCAGUUAGUGAUGUUUAGUAUGCAUGGAGUUGAACUGAAUGAGUUGUUUAGAUUCUGUUCAUUGCAUAUUUUCUUUCUCUUAAAACAUUGGGAUCAGACUUGGUGAAUUAUCAAGGGCUGAUCCUAGUGUGUGUGGUUUGAUUCUUGCUGGAGUUUGAGUGAUGUUUCAGGUACACAAGAGGUGAUCUCUGUCCAUCAUCAAACUAAGACAAAGAAGAAGGCAUUGCCCACGUUUUUCAGAGCCUCCCAAGAUGGAUAUUCCUGAACCGUGGAGAUUGCCCAGUCCCAAAUCCUAUCUAUGUGUCUGCCCAUUUCCUACCCUGAAGAUAGAAAGGAUGUUGGAGAAUUGGAGAAACUGCUCAGAAGUGACUUACCUGAUGCCAAGAGGAUGUACAGGAGGUGCACUCAAGAGAAAAGGCCAUCACUAAGCCAAGAGUGGCCGGUGGUCAGAGGCAUGGAUCAAGGUGUUUAGUCCUGACCAUGUAAAGAUACCUUGUGAGUGGAAUCAGUUGGCUUAAGCGCAGGCGUAGGAGCUGUUGUGCUCCUGGUUCAAGAGACUCACAAGGAAGGCCAUCACCUAAGUCAUGAGGAGACUGGUGGUCCAAAGACAUUGGAGCUGAAGGCAAAUGGUGAACUGGUUGGCUUAAGCGCAGAUGUUGGUAUUGUUGUGCUCCCAGUUCAAAACUCAUUGAAGCUCACGUUCAAGCUUGUCACUAUACUCAGUCAAGCUUGAGGAGGGGAAUAUCAGUGAGCUACCAAAAGAUCCAUGAAGCUUACUGUAUCCAGUGUCCCAUUUCCUCAUAGAAGACCAGCAAGAGGUUGGCGAAUUAAAAGAGGACUUAAGUGAUCAGUCUGAAGAAGCUGUCACUCCUCACUGUUCUUACCAGCCAGAUGCAAGGAUUAUUCAAUCAGGGACAUUCUUGGCUAAGCAAUCACAUGAUGGUGGCAAAUUAUGGAGUUGCAAAGUCCCCCUACAUGUUGAAACUUCAAGAGAAUAAU